rnacentral:lncRNA from 1 species
UAAUUCCCAAAUUCCCAAAACUACAAACUACAACUUGUUAAAUUCGAUUUUCAUAAUUAUACCACUUAGAAUUAGAGAAAGUUAGUCCCACCCUUACCUUAUCUUGACCGAUUGAAAGGUUCUCUUCUCUGGUUCUCCUCUUCUCUUGGUUUUCUCCCUUUUUCUCCAAAAACAGGUUUCACGUGAAAACUAUCUGACCCUAGUUUUCCCUAUUUAUUUCCUCAACCUACUUUAUCUUAUUUCCACU